rnacentral:rRNA from 1 species
AUGCGCCGCUACUCGCAGCUGCCGGGCGCCGGCCGCCAGGACACGCUCGCCGACCGCGUGCACCGCUACCGCGGGGUGCUGCUCGUCGUGCUCGCGCCGCUCGCCCUCGUCUCGCUCGUGCUCCUGCUCAUGCCGCGCGCGCCCGCGGGGGCCGCCCAGAGGCCCCUCGGAGGAGGGGCCGGGGCCGCCGGGGCUAAGAAGUACGCCGUCAUAUUCGACGCCGGCAGCUCCGGCAGCCGCGUCCACGUCUUCUGCUUCGACGGCAACCUGGAUCUGGUCCACAUUGGCACCGACAUCGAGCUCUUCGUCCAGAAAAAGCCUGGACUUAGCGCGUACGCCCAGGACCCGCGCGAGGCUGCUCAAUCGCUCGUCUCCCUCAUUGAGAAGGCCAAGGAAGUGGUUCCGGCUGAAUUGCGCGACCAGACGCCUGUCAGAGUUGGGGCCACAGCAGGGCUAAGAGCGUUGGGAGCAGGAAAAUCCGAAGAGAUCUUGCAAGCGGUUAGGGAUCUUCUUCGUGAAAAGAGUUCAUUUAAGAACCAGCCGGAUUGGGUCACAGUUCUUGAUGGAACUCAGGAAGGUGCAUAUGAAUGGGUCACCAUUAAUUAUCUGUUGGGAAAUCUGGGAAAGACGUACGCAGACACAGUUGGUGUGGUUGACCUUGGCGGUGGAUCUGUCCAAAUGGCGUAUGCUAUCCCAGAGAAGGAUGCUGAAAAGGCUCCUAAACCAGCAGAUGGUGAAGAAUCAUACGUGAAGAAGCUUUUCCUUAAAGGGACAACAUAUCAUCUUUAUGUCCACAGUUAUUUGCGCUACGGAUUGCUGGCUGCUAGAGCAGAGAUCUUAAAAGCUGGCAAUGCGAAUGGUUACAGCAACUGUGUAUUGGCUGGACAUCAGGGGCAAUACAAGUAUGGUGGCAAUACAUUUGAAGCAUCGGCUGCACCUUCUGGCAGUAGUUUUUCGGAAUGCAGGGCUGAUGUGGUGAAAGCUCUUAAAGUAGAUGAGGCAUGCACUCACAUGAAAUGUUCCUUUGGUGGCAUUUGGAAUGGUGGUGGUGGUGCUGGCCAGAAGAAUCUCUUUGUAGCGUCGUUUUUCUUUGACAGGGCUGCUGAGGCUGGUUUCAUUAACUCCAAUGCGGCUGUUGCCAAGGUCAAACCCUCAGACUUUGAGGAAGCUGCCAAGCGUGCUUGUAAAUUGAACGUGAAUGACGCCCAAUCUAGCUACCCUGGUGUCCAGAAGGAUAACGUUCCAUACAUUUGCAUGGAUCUUGUUUACCAGUACACACUGCUCGUGGAUGGAUUUGGUGUUGAUCCCCAACAAGAGAUGACAUUGGUAAAGAAGGUUCCUUACAGCGACGCGCUUGUGGAAGCAGCGUGGCCACUUGGAAGUGCCAUCGAGGUUGCAUCAUCAUCAUAG